CCUGCUGUGUGCCUUCACCAGGUUUCUCAAACCGCUUCCUAACAGAAAGUAAUGGAUCCUCCUUAAUGGUCGUCAAGAAAUCUAGAACAUUCCCUCCAUGUCAAGAAAUUUAGAAAAGUCCCUCAGAGGCUCGAGUGCUGUACAUCAGCAUUGUCAACCUGGGCGCUGUGAUCCCAGUGGAGUCAUAUCUCAGCGAUCCUGACAUGUGGUUGCUGUAACGUAGAGGACUAGGAGGUCUCGUGACUCAGACGGACAAAAGAACAGUCAGAACAUUUCCGAGUUUCCAGAGCAGAAGGGUAACUGGGGAACAACUGUUGAGGCUGAACCACCACUGAGGAUCUCCUGCCUCAAUCUUGGGUUCUUGAACCAAAGACUCAGAAGAACGCAAAGCACAUCACAGCCACUCACUGUGUCCCAUUUGGCUCUGGCUCGUUCUUCCUCAAAUUUAGCAAAUUCCUUCCGGUCAUGAAUGGUGAUGAGUAGCUUCCAGAUGAGCAGAGUAGCAAGGCCAAUGAGCAGAAUCGCCCCCAUCACUGACAGCAGGACCACCAGGAUAUCAGGACCCUUAGGACACUCUGGGAGACAGAGACGGAGAGGGCAGGAGUCACCGGAAAUGUCCAGGAAUGAGAUCGUUAACAAAGGGAUACGGGACUGGAGAUGGGACCCUCAAGAACAGGUUCACCACUUUUUAAAGGCAUAAUCUUUAGGAUGGCAAUAAUCUGUCCUAG
rnacentral:lncRNA from 1 species